UCUCAGAAGGUAAAAGUGAGGAGCUGAAAGACACUACAUCCAAAAAUCAGAAGGUCCAGUUGUCUCUCUGCUGAUGCCUCACAUGGACGAAGACAGGAGGAGUGAACCAUAUGCUUGGCCACCACGUGCAGGCGGGCACAGCUUCACUCCAGGAAGGGCAUUCGGCAGGCUCCAGGGGGAACGAUGACCCCGGAAUUGUGCAGCACGGCAGCCCAGCUCACACACGCCAAGCCCGUUCCCAGGGCAGACCUUGGCGCUGCCGAUCCUCUGCCUGGUACAUCCAUCUGCGGCUCUGUGCACUGGCUCCUCGUCAUCCACAGGAGCACCGCUGUGUUUCACAAAGCACUGCUCUGUGCCGGGCGGAACUGACUACCUCAUUGGUAGGACCCCAGCAUUUCUUGGAGGAGGCAGAGCUUGUGAAAAUGCACAUUCCCAGCCUUCUCUCAGGGACUGAGGCUUCGUAAAUUUGAGAUGGGACCCGGGAAUAUACAUUCUAACCAACACUCGAGGUGAUUCUGAUGUACCACCCUGUGAGAAACACCCAAAACAGCGGAAAACAAUGGGAAAU